rnacentral:rRNA from 1 species
UACGGAGGGGGCUAGCGUUGUUCGGAAUUACUGGGCGUAAAGGGCGCGUAGGCGGCUUCUCAAGUCAGGGGUGAAAUCCUGGAGCUCAACUCCAGAACUGCCUUUGAUACUGAGGGGCUCGAGUCCGGGAGAGGUGAGUGGAACUGCGAGUGUAGAGGUGAAAUUCGUAGAUAUUCGCAAGAACACCAGUGGCGAAGGCGGCUCACUGGCCCGAUACUGACGCUGAGGUGCGAAAGCGUGGGGAGCAAACAGGG